rnacentral:misc_RNA from 1 species
GUGGGAGGGGGCUUGCCCCCGAUAGCGGUGUGUCAGUCAGCUUAUUGGCAGCUGACCCACCGCUAUCGGGGGCAAGCCCCCUCCCAC